rnacentral:rRNA from 1 species
CCUACGGGUGGCAGCAGUGAGGAAUAUUGGUCAAUGGACGAGAGUCUGAACCAGCCAAGUAGCGUGAAGGAUGACUGCCCUAUGGGUUGUAAACUUCUUUUAUGUGGGAAUAAACUGUUCCACGUGUGGGAUUUUGUAUGUACCAUAUGAAUAAGGAUCGGCUAACUCCGUGCCAGCAGCCGCGGUAAUACGGAGGAUCCGAGCGUUAUCCGGAUUUAUUGGGUUUAAAGGGAGCGUAGGUGGAUUGUUAAGUCAGUUGUGAAAGUUUGCGGCUCAACCGUAAAAUUGCAGUUGAAACUGGCAGGCUUGAGUACGGUAGAGGUGGGCGGAAUUCGUGGUGUAGCGGUGAAAUGCUUAGAUAUCACGAAGAACUCCGAUUGCGAAGGCAGCUCACUGGACUGCAACUGACACUGAGGCUCGAAAGUGUGGGUAUCAAACAGGAUUAGAUACCCCAGUAGUC